GGUUACAGCAAAGAGCGGCAGGAGCCGAAGGACCAGCCUCCUCCCACAGCAGUCCAAAGCUCAGGCUUGGGAGGGCUCAGGGGAGGUGGAUUUCAGUCUAGGUGCAGAAGCCACUCUGAGCUUCCAUCUGGCAAAUAGGCCAGGACUCAGGCUGAAGCUGCCAUCUGGACACUGAGAAAAGAAGAAAUGUUUUGCAGCAUGUCAUGCUUCCAUGAAGUCCCAUCCUUCUCCUGAGUGGUACCUGAGAAUACAUGAGGGACAGAGAGAUAAAGAUGCAGUGCAGGAGCUGGACAAGACUCAUCUCCUUGCAUUUUCUUAAUACCAAGCAGAGAAAGAUGACAGUCACUUCCUCAUGGUCAACAGUCACUGCUGAUUUACAAGGUGUUCCCUGUGGACAAUAGUGCCACCAUUCCUAGCAAGUGUUCACUGAGCACUUGCUAUCCGCCAGGCCAGGGCAGAGCUGAGCUGGGACUGCACCACAAUGCUACCUUCAUUCCUCUGCAACUGGGCCGUGGGACUUCCCAGGGUCCAACAGCACCAUCUAUUGGCCGGAAGACCCCCGGAAAACAGCAUUUUCUCAGCGACCUCUGUCCAGGAGAAACUGAAUGGUAUGAGCCUUGUAGACUCAUCCUGGAAGACCAGAGGACAUCGUCCUUCACAUUUAGCUGAACAUCACCAUAACAAGCAAUGACCAACAGGCCACAGGUGGCUGUCAACAGUGACUGCACGCGACAAUACUUGAAGAGAUUCUGAAAAUCCAGAUGCCUCAAACCAAUUAAAUCAGAACCCCUGGGGCGGGACCCAGCCACAGGGGAAACACUGGCUUACUAGAAACAACUUGAACCUUAAGCCAAUAAAUAAAAUUAAAUGUCUGGGUUUAAGGGUCAGUUCCUCCGCUUAUCACCAUACAAUGUUGGACAAAUUACUUUACAUUCUUCCUAGCCCAGUUCUUCAAAUGUGAAACCAGCAGAUCAAUAUGUUCCCAUCAAAAUUAGUCUGCAAACUGGUCAACCCUAAACAUGUUCUGCAACUGACCCCAGAGUAAGAAAAGGAGACACAACCACUGGGACCAACGAGGAUGGGGAAUGGGGAAGAGAAUAGGCAUGCGGUGUUAAAAAUCUGGCUUGCCAGCCAGAAAACACUGGUCGCUCCCUGGGGUUCCUUUCAUCUCUAAAAAUUGGUAUUCUAUCCAUGUGUGCAAAGCUGGCAGGAAGAUAAACCUCUGUGCUUCCACAUAGCUCAGAGGAGAUUGUGAGUUGCCUGGAUAUGAUGCCAUUUUUUUUUUCAGAUUCAGGUCAUCAGGCUCAAAGAAUUCGCUGUUAUUGCCAGUACCACCUUGCACUGUAGUAAGUCCUCACUUUACACGUGCUAGGCUAAACCUUUUAGUUAUUACCACUCAUGCCCAACCAGUUGGCUCCACUGAGAGACUAGCAGGAGAAGCAACGUCGGCCACCCAAAGAAUUAAAAAACCUUCAAGGAUUUUUACCAAAUCUCUAGGUUUGUCCCAUUUUUUCAGCCCCUUCUGCAAAGACAAGCCAGAGAGAAGAAGCAAGCAUUCUCACAUCUCCUCUAAUAAGGGCAAUAAUCCUGUUGCAAAGGCUUCACCUGAUAACCUGACUAUCUCCCUAAGGCCCCGUCUCCAAAUACCAUCACACUGAGGUUUAGGGGUGUAUUAGUCCGUUCUCACACUGCUAUGAAGAAAUACUGAGUAAUUUAUAAAGGAAAGAGGUCUAAUUGGCUCAUGUUCUGCAGGUUGUACAGAAAAUACAGUUGCUUCUGCUUCUGGGGAGGCCUCAGGAAACUUACAAUCACGAAGGAAGGGGAAGCAAGCAAAUCUUACAUGGCAGAAACAGGAAAAAGGUGGGGAGGAAGUGCCACCCAUUUGUAAACAACCAGAUCUCAUGAGAACAGCAGCAGUAGAUGGUGCUAGACCAUUCAGGAAGGACCACCGCCGUGAUCCGAUCAUUUCCCACCAGGCCCCACCUUUUACAUUGGGGAUUACAUCUUGACAUGAAAUUUGAUAGGGACACAGAUCCAAACCCUAUCAAGCGGUUUGAUGUACAGAUCUUAGGGGAACAUAAACAUUAAAUCCACAGCAGACAGCCCUUGACGACCA